GCUGGUUUGGCUCAGUGGGUAGAGUGUCGGUCUGCGAACCGAAGGGUCCUGGGUUCGAUUCCUGUCAAUGGCA
rnacentral:tRNA from 1 species